rnacentral:rRNA from 1 species
UACGUAGGGUGCAAGCGUUAAUCGGAAUUACUGGGCGUAAAGCGUGCGCAGGCGGUUUUGUAAGUUUGUCGUGAAAGCCCCGGGCUCAACCUGGGAAUUGCGAUGAGGACUGCAAGGCUUGAAUCUGGCAGAGGGGGGUAGAAUUCCACGUGUAGCAGUGAAAUGCGUAGAGAUGUGGAGGAACACCGAUGGCGAAGGCAGCCCCCUGGGUCAAGAUUGACGCUCAUGCACGAAAGCGUGGGGAGCAAACAGG